ensembl:snoRNA
GGUCCCACGUGUGGCAACUAAGACCCAAUGCAGCCAGAUAAAUAAAUAUCUUAAAAACUCAAGCAAACUGGAUGUUUGUCUUAUAACCUGUCAGAGGAAACUAAU